rnacentral:rRNA from 1 species
GAUGAACGCUGGCGGCGUGCCUAAUACAUGCAAGUCGAGCGAACGGACGAGAAGCUUGCUUCUCUGAUGUUAGCGGCGGACGGGUGAGUAACACGUGGAUAACCUACCUAUAAGACUGGGAUAACUUCGGGAAACCGGAGCUAAUACCGGAUAAUAUUUUGAACCGCAUGGUUCAAAAGUGAAAGACGGUCUUGCUGUCACUUAUAGAUGGAUCCGCGCUGCAUUAGCUAGUUGGUAAGGUAACGGCUUACCAAGGCAACGAUGCAUAGCCGACCUGAGAGGGUGAUCGGCCACACUGGAACUGAGACACGGUCCAGACUCCUACGGGAGGCAGCAGUAGGGAAUCUUUCGCAAUGGGCGAAAGCCUGACGGAGCAACGCCGCGUGAGUGAUGAAGGUCUUCGGAUCGUAAAACUCUGUUAUUAGGGAAGAACAUAUGUGUAAGUAACUGUGCACAUCUUGACGGUACCUAAUCAGAAAGCCACGGCUAACUACGUG